rnacentral:lncRNA from 1 species
GUGUUUCAUUGCCUAUGUCCCAGGAUGCCGAAAAUCUUGUUGCGGCUUUGUACUUUGAUAAUGAUCGCCGGCAUAUGUGGGGUGCGGUUGUAAAGGUGGUGCACUGACGCAAUUUUAACGUCUUCGACAAAACUGUUGAGGUCUACUCUAUAUUCCUUUGUCCAGUAGGUCAAUUUAGGCGCAGUGGAUUUAGAAGGAGAAAAUUUUAGACUCCUUGACGUGCAGAAGCGAGAACAAGGAGCGAAAACAUAUCGCGACGUCCAUAUCGUGUAAUCAUCAGAGUACGAGGUAAUGGAAAUUCCCUCUGGUGAAGCGGAUAAUUUCGAUAUGUGGAAGUUAAAUACUAAAAGGGGGAAGACACCCCCCUGCGAUACUAUCCUGUUGAAUUCUUUUCAGCUUAGAAUUUUGACUCCAAAAUAUUACGAUUAUUACCGACCGCUUAUAUAAUUCAUGGUACAUCACUUUAGCACUGGAGGCGAUGAAGAUUGUUCCUUAUUUUGUAAUAGCGUUGUGUUGUUGACAAUGGCAAAGGCUUUUGACAAGUCCAACCUUACUAGGAUGGUUCUCUUACAUUGCGGUUUUUGAUUAAGGUCAUGAGUUGUCCGAGAGGUUCUGAUGCAUAGUGCUGUUGUGCACUUUACGGAAACCAUGUUGGGCACUGGUUAGAUGGUGUAUAAAGGUCGAAAAUUGCAGGCCUUAAAGCUCAUCCCUAGUGGGGAAAGGAGAGCUAUCGCCCAAUAAGGAAUUGGACAAAAAAGAAAGCACUUUUUCGCCAUGACAAAGCAUCAGCUCUCACCUCCGUCAUCACCAGGGUUAAAUGAUUAAAAUUAAGCUAUUUUAUAUAUAUCAAAUCUCUUACUCGAAAUAUAUUUUCCGACAAAAAUUAGAGUUACGAGUAAUAAUAAAAAAUCACUUCGAAUUUUUUUCUUUUGUGGAAUUUCUUUUCUCCUCGCUUCACUAAGCUUAACUUAGUUAGAUGACUUGAUAAAACCGAAAGUCAUAAGAAUAAAAAAUUCAACUCGAAUUCAAAUCUUCAUGCCUAUAAAAAGUUUUCACCCAAUUUUGUACAAAAUUUUCUUUUAAUGAAAUUAUUCAAGCGCUUAAUGAGCGCGUGAUUGCGAACGCCGGUCAUUUAUUGUCCCAGUGAUUAUUUAUUGCUCUUAAUUGAAUUACAGCACUGACCUACUCAACGUUUGUUCGCCUUUUUGGCAUUUUGUGCGUAGCUCUAGCACGUCGAGCAACUAGUGAAUACUAAUUUGCAGCAAGCUGAGGUUAGUGACUACUGAUAAGAGCAGGUUGAAACGCAAUCACUCGUUUAGUAUUGCCUACUUUUAGGCUUAUAUGAAAUUCAUUCAGUAGCUUUCAGUGAAUAAAAGCUUAAAAGUGUGCUUUGCAGUGAGUUUAUAUGGCCUUAAAUUAUGUUUAAAGCAACACAGGGUGUCUAGUCAAGGCAUUUUAUUAUUAUAUCUGAGUAAAUCUGCAUUCAAAUUAUAGAAUCACCAGCGGACCCGAUGGUCGAUUUCUUCUGGGCGCAUUUUAUUUACUAUCAAAAUCAAAAUAUGCGCAUGUGGUUUUUCCAUUCUACAGAAUAAAGCCAGCAACGUGUUUCGCCAAAUACUGAGUGAUGUGUAAUUAAAUUUAUUAAAGAUUUUAAUUUUUGUUUGAACAUGCGCUUGAUUAAACUUAGUGUAUCGUAAUCUCUCACUUUCAACUUUCGCAUACAUAUCGACAACAUACUGAUGAAAUAGCUGUCGGCAUCGGAGAAUGUUAUUAUCUUCAUUAGCACGAAUCAUCAAACGGUAUGCAUAGAAGUUCAUUGCAUUAACUUCCUUGGUCAGUACUUCACCUGUAGUUGGAUUACUUUGUUUAAUAUUUAAAUGAUAUCCACCUCAUCCCAAAAUAUCAACGGAUACUGCAGUGCAUCAUAGGAACGAUGAUUGUCUUGAAUUAUUUGCACUGUAUUAUCUCUGCGUAGUAUACGUAUAUCUCGACGUUCAGUUGGAUCACCAGCCAUAACAACUGCAACUGCCCUACCCAGGAUGAAAGAAUUAGUAGACACCAACAGGUCCGAUUGUGUUUCCAUUACAUUACAAAGUGUGAUCCUACGAUUUGCAGGCAUUUUGCUGUGAUGCAGGGGUUUAAUCGCAUGAUCAUCCCGGCCCUCCUCAGAUGGUUUGCCAGGGGCCGCAUGUGUACAAUAACCAAGAGCUGCAAUCUCCUUAUACAGGAUGUUUGCAACCCAGGAACUAGGCGCGAGGUUAGUUGUAGGUCAGCGCAAACACUCAGAAGCCAUAACAAGCAUACAGAUGUUGGAGCCGCCUCGCAACUAUCCGGCAAAGGUCUCACGGCAUUGCCUGACGACGUCAUGGAUGAGAUUUAUAAGACGCGAGGCUGACCUGGGUCAUUCCAAAGUGUUUAUAAGAUCAGAAAUACUUUAAGUCAGCUUCAAGGACAAGUAGACGGCCCGGUCCUUUGCGUUCAUGCACAGCAUGACGGUGUUUCAUGUCAGGAGCGCAGGUAAGCCAUACGAGUUUGCAUUUUUUCUCAUCAUUAACCAAAAAGAGGGCAUCAAUACCUCAGCCUGUAGGGUAGUUGACAGCAGCAUUGAGGAUGCCGGAUACAGACUCAACAUCACCAUAGAUGAUGAGUUGAACAAAUUUCUUCCGAAACAAGGGUUCACUUUAGCACUAUGAUAAUAAAGUCCUGAAAGGCUUAAACCACGGCGGUAAAGAACACGGCAGAGCAAAAGAUGCUGGUGUAUGAGGCUCCACUCAUGCCGACACCGACAGAGUCGAACAGUUGUUCGUGGACAGCUGAAGCGAGUACACGCAUUAGAGGAUAAACGAGAGUUUAAGAAAACAAAACAGUGACAAUAAACAGUGCUAAUUAGCAGUGGCAAUAGUGUGUUACAAGAGUCAUAAACAGUGGCGCAGGUAGAAUUUAGUGAAAGAACACAAAAAAAAAUAUUCAAAAAAACCAUAUUACUUAGUGGAGUAGUGUAUGGGAAGGCUUAACCGCUUACAAUCGUGUUCAAGCGGGACAUAAAGAGGUAGCCGGCAACGUGCUAGCCAACAAACUCGCUCGCUUUGUUGCGCCUUCUAAGAUGAUGAGGCCAGAACCAUGUUUAGGGGGUGGGGCCCCACACCAUGAACGAGCUGUUGAGGGCGGAAGAGAGAGUGGGUAGUAAAAGAUACUGGCAAUAAACAAUCGGAAUGCGUCAUGCUAUUGAGAGGUUACAACCCAGCAAGGUUCAAGUAUAUGCUCAGCCUCGCUCAACCUCUGUCGUGAAAAAUUCCGUCUGCUUGUCCAUGGACAUGGCUUUUUGUGCAUUCUGCCGGUUUUACAACAUGGAACCGGAAAGACCAGAACACCUGAUUCUAAAUUGCACAGCAAUUUGUAGACGCAGAUUCAAAGCCUUUGCAUCCAUUGACGUAGAUAGGGAUCGUGUAGCUUCAAGGCUGGGCGUUGGUUCGAUAAUGCAUACCCAUGUCUCAUACUGCAUUGAUUCUUCACAAGUUACAAAAACUGUCUCGGGAAUUGGAACAAACAGUUUUAAAGUUGUGAAUAAAGUCUUACUAUUUUUUGCUCAUAGUAGUGCAUGAAGCAUUAACUGAAUUCCUUUUGUUCUCUUUGUAAUUUUUUGAGGAUUAUUUUAGUUUUCGGAACACUUACAUAAAUACAUAUAAAUCUGUUAAGAAUAUGAAGGCAGCGUUUUCCUUGCAAAAAUGUUUUAUGCCUAAUCCUAUUUGCUAGCACUAAGUAUCCAAAUUGUAAACCUGGCCUGAUAAAAUUCUCCGAAUUUCUCCGAAUCUUUCCAUAAUUAUAAAUUUUGUGAUUAUCUCACACCUGGACAAUUUCCCAUCGUUGAAAUGCUCUACAACAGCUCUCAAUUGCAUAAAAUCCCUAAACGUGAUAAAUAGGAAACAUAACAACAUAACCACAACAACAAAUAGCAGAUAAGCUAACAGUAUUGAAAUUGUAAAGAAAUUCUCGGAAUGAAAGAGAAUGAACAUAUUAGUUCAAAUCUACCAUGAACUGAACCAUACAUUUGUAUGUGUGUAGGUGUUUGUGAACUGAGUUUAGUCGAGUUGAUUUUAUGUUAAUAGAAAUGAGACUAUAACUGAGCCAGCACGCAGUAGUUGUGUGUGUGCGACGGAGUGCAAAUUCGGUAUUGGUGUUUACGGUAAUUGGUGCAGCACAAAACACUUUCUGGAAAUGAAUUGGCGAAAAGGGAAAUAUUGAAAAUCUCUCUGCUUGGGAACAAAUUUGCCUUAUUGUGUGUGGUAUUUUGCCGAAUUCGAGCAGGUCAUGUGUACCGCAAAAUCAAAGCUCACACACACACACUUAUUUAAAAACUCCAACACAAGCGCUUGGUAGACUUUACAGGUCAAUUGAAAAGUACCCGGCCUGACAUAGAUGGCGCUACUAGAAACUGCGGCAUAAAUUUGACAUCUGUUGGAUCAUUAGUUUGUGAAUUAUACCAUUUUGAGUAAAAGCAACUUUUGUUAUUGUAAAAAAAAUGGAUAAAAACGAGUUUCGGGUGAUGAUAAAAUAUUGUUUUUUGGAAGAAAAACAUACAGUUGAAAUGAAAAUUUUACUUGAUGACGAGUGUUCGAACAUUGUCCCAGGAAAGUCAGCCAUCAAGUACUGGUGAAAUGACCGCCGAAGUUUGCGAA